GACGAACGCUGGCGGCGUGCUUAACACAUGCAAGUCGAACGGAAAGGCCUCUUUCGGGGGGUACUCGAGUGGCGAACGGGUGAGUAACACGUGAGUAACCUGCCCUUGACUUUGGGAUAACUUCAGGAAACUGGGGCUAAUACCGGAUAGGAGCUCCUGCUGCAUGGUGGGGGUUGGAAAGUUUCGGCGGUUGGGGAUGGACUCGCGGCUUAUCAGCUUGUUGGUGGGGUAGUGGCUUACCAAGGCUUUGACGGGUAGCCGGCCUGAGAGGGUGACCGGCCACAUUGGGACUGAGAUACGGCCCAGACGCCUACGGGAGGCAGCAGUGGGGAAUAUUGCACAAUGGGUGGAAGCCGGAUGCAGCAACGCCGUGUGCGGGAGGACGGCCCUCGGGUUGUAAACCGCUUUCGCUCAUGACGAAGCUUUGUGUGACGGUAGUGGGUAAAGAAGCACCGGCUAACUACGUG
rnacentral:rRNA from 1 species